UAGCUAAGGUCAUAAUUAUUGACCUCAGUGACAUAUCCAAGAUUUUGAGAAUAUAGCACUGCUCAAGGCAGAUUUGGGGGCUCAUAACUUGUCCUAUUAUUUUUUGGAGAAUGUUACUCAAUUACCUUAGUUAGCUAAUCUGACCAAAUUGAAGUUAUGCAGUAUACAUUAUUAUAUUUAUUUUAAUUUUAAAGUAACAAAACUGAUUGCUUUGGUGUCAAGGGGAUGCUACAACCCCAUAAGCACCCGAAUAUACCUAAUUGAGGAAUCAAAUUUUUAAAUUAAUUAUAUGGUCAAUCCUAUAAUUAAUAUAAAAAUUUUGAACAUAUAAAUAAACAAACAUGUUCAUUAAAAUGUAUAGCUGCAUCUUUUAUUUAAUUAACAAUUCAAAAUGUCUUAUUUCCACAUAUUCAUUAUUUCUCCAGCCUGUGACUUAAGCUCAAAGGUACAAUUUGGCCCAAAUUGAAAAAAGUUGGACCACUUUAGUAUAGGUUAUUGGUUAUAUUUCAGUUUUAUGACAGUUUUUACAAAGAGAUUAGAAAUUAAAUAUUGCAAUUUAUUUCAAUAAAAUUACAGGUACAGUAAUUAUCAUCAUUUCCAUUAUUUCUAGUUGGGAAAAGUUGUUGAAACUCAUAGCAUUAUAUUUGAUUUGGAAAAUCUCACUAUGAAGCAAGUUGCUUGGAAACCUGCUAUUGAUAUGAUAACUCAACUGGUAAAAUUAUUUGAAGAUAACUAUCCAGAGAGAUUGAAGAAAGCCUAUGUUGUAAAUGCAUGUUUAUUCAAUGAUAAAGAAGAUGAUAAUGAAAUUUCUUAGAAUAG